ensembl:lncRNA
ACAGUCCAUCUGCUGUCAGGAAGGAGUGAGACACCAGUCUCGAAUCAGCAACGGCAGCUCGAUCUAGAAGAAUCCGUGAGGCUCUGUCAAUUGGCCCGAGCCCAGGGAAGUUGCUAGAGCACCACCGGAAGUUCUUUGGUGCGUCUCUCUCUAUGACGUCAUGACCGACAGUGAUCAGCGGAGGAGGUGAGGUGACCCAGUGCUACCCAGCAUCGCCCACUGUCUGUCGGGUGGUAGGUAGACCCCUUUCAAACGUCGUGAGUUCUUUCGAGCACCUGCUCUAGCGGAACAUCUCAUGUGUUUCCAGGAAACUUCCAGAAGAACACCACCUGUCUGUUUUCAGCAAAACAUCCUCCCAUGUGUCUGUCCCACAGGUCUGCUUCAGGAAGAAACAUCCUGACAUAAGACAGUUUUCCAAAAACAUCGCGCGACACAACUGAGUCUCCAAAACACCCAAACAUUCCCCCUUCACACCUCAGUCAACUUUUUUUUUCUAGAAACAUCCUCAUAGACAUGCCCAGAUAGUCUUACUUAGGUGAUUCUAAUUCCAGCCAAGUGCACAAUAAAUUAGCCAUGAUAGCCGGUCGUGGAGGCACACACCUUACCUCCUACCACUGGGGAGGCAGAGGACAAAGGUCUCUGUGAGUUCAAGACCAGCCUGGCCUAUGUCGAGAAUUCUAGGAUAGGUAGGGCGGGGUCGAGAGACCCAGGCUGAGAG